rnacentral:lncRNA from 1 species
AUCCACUGAAGAGCCCACCUUUAAAAUCAUCUCUUUCCAAUUUAGAGAUAAGGAUGCAGUGUAGGACUAUAUCAAAGGUCCUGCAGAAGUCCUGUGCAAAAGGGCAUCAGUUACCCUUCCUUUGUUCAUCAGUGUCAUCACAUCAUCGUACAACACCACCAGACUGAGGUGGUGGCACAGUCUGCCUUUGGUGAAGCCAUGCUGACUGUCUCAGAUCACCUCUUUGUCUCACAUAUGCUGAAUUUUUUGGCAGUGACAGAAAGGCCUGAAUCAAGCUUCCAGUUCCUCCCUUCGUAUCUAAGUAUUUCCUGUAGAAGCUCAAGAGAUUAAAAAGUACCCUAUUCUUAUGCAAACGUUCCCUUGGGACUGAAAAGGCCUCCAUCCCUCCUCCCUCGUGCCACGAUCUGGAGAAAUCGACACUCACAUGUGUUAACCCAAGUAUAGUAUUUGAUGAUGGAAGGAAAGA